AUGGCUCAGGAUGAACGCUAGCUACAGGCUUAACACAUGCAAGUCGAGGGGCAGCAUUGGGAUAGCUGCUAUUCAGAUGGCGACCGGCGCACGGGUGAGUAACGCGUAUCCAACCUUCCUGCCAGUAGGGAACAGCCCGGCGAAAGUCGGAUUAAUGCCCUAUGUUCUUCAAUGCGGACAUCUAAGUUGAAGGAAAGAUUCAUCGCUGGCAGAUGGGGAUGCGUCCGAUUAGCUUGCCGGCGGGGUAACGGCCCACCGGGGCGACGAUCGGUAGGGGUUCUGAGAGGAAGGUCCCCCACACUGGUACUGAGACACGGACCAGACUCCUACGGGAGGCAGCAGUGAGGAAUAUUGGUCAAUGGGCGUAAGCCUGAACCAGCCAAGUAGCGUGCAGGAAUGACGGCCCUACGGGUUGUAAACUGCUUUUAUGCGGGGAUAAAGUGCGGCACGUGUGCCGCUUUGCAGGUACCGCAUGAAUAAGGACCGGCUAAUUCCGUGCCAGCAGCCGC
rnacentral:rRNA from 1 species